rnacentral:rRNA from 1 species
UGAGGAAUAUUGGUCAAUGGGCGGGAGCCUGAACCAGCCAAGCCGCGUGAGGGAAGAAGGCCCUAUGGGUCGUAAACCUCUUUUGUCAGGGAACAAAAGCGAGUAUGUAUACUAGUCUGAGUGUACCUGAAGAAAAAGCAUCGGCUAACUCCGUGCCAGCAGCCGCGGUAAUACGGAGGAUUCGAGCGUUAUCCGGAUUUAUUGGGUUUAAAGGGUGCGUAGGCGGCGAUGCAAGUCAGCGGUAAAAGCCCGGGGCUCAA